ACCGGAAGUGAUCCCCGCCAUGGCCGGGGAAGGCCUGCAGGUGAUACCGGGGCUUGGCGGGAUGAAAGGAGAAGUAGUUUUGAAGUGGAGGGGACAGCCUCAUAUACGUCCUGAGUGGAAAGGUGAAAGAGACCCAUGCACCCUUAUGGAGUUCAGUAAGUAAAUAAGACCCAAAAGUCCAGCUUUGAAGAAAACCUGGCAAAAGGAAGAGUCACAUAUCAUCCCCAUACUACAGUAGACACAGAAAUGGCAGAAGAUACUUGGAUCAGGUAUAAACAAAUAACAGCUAUACCUUGGCUCUGGUCUUUCCCAUCUUACUCAUCUUCCCAUACUGCUGCCCGAAUUGUAUCAAGUCUCCUCCUCAAGAAAUUUGACCAGUAUGAUGUAUGUCCUAAUUCCUCAGCAUUGCAUACUGAGCCCAUACCCUUCACAGUCAGGCCUUAACUUCCAUAUCUGGCCUCAUCUGCUACCCUUUGCUCAUGAAGCCUACGCUUAAACUUCUCUGAAAAAUCAUGCCUGUUUUGUCUUCUUAGAAUGACCAUAUCCUUUUCUCUUUCACCUAAUAACUGUCUACUCAUAUUUUAGGAACUAGCUCAUUCUUUGAGAAGCCUUGCUGGACUCCCCUGGUUAGCAGCUCACUCGAUGUUAUUGCCACACUUUGGUAUCAUUCUUCUGUCAAGGGUAUGUAUUAUUAUUUUGCUCCAUAUCUGUGUGAACUUUUGUCUCCCCCACUAGAUUGAGCUCCUCAGAGACAGGGAUGACUUUCAUGUCAUUGGAGCCCAUUUCAGCACCAGACACAUACUUGGUACUCAGUAAAAUUGGCUGAGUGGAAUUGAGAGUUCAUUUAUCACCUUUACACGUCCUCAGAGCACCUCAUUUCAUCCACCUUCUGUUAAAGUCACUGCCCACAUUCAUUUUUGUCAUCAUCUGUAUUGCACAUAGUAGGAACUCAACAAAUGUUGAAUGAAGGAAUAGUACCAUAUUAAUAGUACCAUAGAUCUUAUAGUCUACCUUAUAGU